UACGAAGGGGGCUAGCGUUGUUCGGAAUUACUGGGCGUAAAGCGCACGUAGGCGGAUAUGUAAGUCAGGGGUGAAAUCCCGGGGCUCAACCUCGGAACUGCCUUUGAUACUGCAAAUCUUGAGUCCGGAAGAGGUGAGUGGAAUUCCUAGUGUAGAAGGUGAAAUUCGUAGAUAUUAGGAAGAACACCAGUGGCGAAGGCGGCUCACUGGUCCGGUACUGACGCUGAGGUGACGAAAGCGUGGGGGAGCAAACAGG
rnacentral:rRNA from 1 species